AAAUUCCGCAGAUCAAUUACCCAAAACUUUGACGAAUACUCAGCGAAAUUGAUUCCUUAAAUCAGCCGUGAAACGUAACGUGUACAUCAGCGACAUUCUUCUCGAACGGUUUACAACCGCUAAACUUAAUCCGGUCAGCCGUGUUUACAUUCGAAGUUCAUUUGAGCUCGGAGAGUCGGCAGGUGAACAUCAAAAUUACGCGUAUAAAUUCCGCGUCUCGUUUAACUCAACGAAGAUUAUACAAGUACUAUACAGUGUGAUAAUUUUGUUUUCUCCUUCAACGAAAUUGGCAGCAGGUUCGCUCUUCCGUUAUUGUUUUGUUAGUUAUCACAGUGCGUUGAACUUUGCCUCGUCAAUGUGUCCAUGUCACUCUCUGUGUGUGUGUGUGUGUGUGUGUGUUUGUGUAAGUGCGAUCGAGAAGUUAUACCGCACGGAUCUGCAGUGACGACGUGCAAAUCUGGAAUGGCUGCGACGAAGUUUCAGCGCAAUUAGCGGCUGUGAGGACGAGCUUGAGAGGCGGUUCGGAUGAUGAAAAAUUACUCGAUAUUAACUUUUCACGAGAAAGAUAAUACUUGCCGGCAAUGCAAUGGUUCGUCGAUGCAUUAGAAUUUCGAUUUGAUCAAUACAUCAACGCGGUUCAGAAGGAUGGAUGUUUGUCAUCACGAAGGGCUGUUAUCCAUGACCGAAUCGACACCCAGCCGUCAUGUUAUUACGGCCUACUUUGGAUUAGCCAAACGUCGACUACGCGCGCAUAUGAAGGAUAGAAGAAAAUGAGUGGAACCUGUAUUAAAAAGUUAAUUGAAGUAAAAUGUGUACGAUUAUAUAAUUGAUUUAUUGUAAAAGACAUGGAAAGUGCAAUAAAAAGAUAUGGAGGAGAAAUUGUUUGUUAGAAA